GCUGAGCAGGGACGCUGGUGCGUCCGGCGGCCUCAUAAACCGCAGCAGGCAGGUUCGAUUCCUGCGCUCAGCA
rnacentral:tRNA from 2 species